AUUGAACGCUGGCGGCAUGCCUUACACAUGCAAGUCGAACGGCAGCGGACCUUCGGGUGCCGGCGAGUGGCGAACGGGUGAGUAAUAUAUCGGAACGUACCUCUCAGUGGGGGAUAACGUAGCGAAAGUUACGCUAAUACCGCAUAUUCUGUGAGCAGGAAAGCAGGGGAUCGCAAGACCUUGCGCUGAUUGAGCGGCCGAUAUCAGAUUAGCUAGUUGGUGAGGUAAAGGCUCACCAAGGCGACGAUCUGUAGCGGGUCUGAGAGGAUGAUCCGCCACACUGGAACUGAGACACGGUCCAGACUCCUACGGGAGGCAGCAGUGGGGAAUUUUGGACAAUGGGCGCAAGCCUGAUCCAGCCAUGCCGCGUGAGUGAAGAAGGCCUCGGUUGUAAG
rnacentral:rRNA from 1 species